rnacentral:sRNA from 1 species
CUGACAAUAACGCAGCCUAAGAUCGCCACGUCCUGUGGCAACAGCCGCGUGACCCGCUUCGAGCGGC